GAUGAACGCUGGCGGCAUGCCUAACACAUGCAAGUCGGACGGGAAACUCGGGCAACGGUGUUUCCAGUGGCGGACGGGUGGGUAAUGCGUAAGAACCUGCCCUUGGGCGGGGAACAACAGCUGGUAACGGCUGCUAAUACCCCGUAGGCUGAUGUGCAAAACGAGGAAUCCGCCCGAGGGGGGGCACGCGUCUGAUUAGCUAGUUGGUGAGGCAAUAGCUUACAAAGGCGAUGAUCAGUAGCUGGUCCGAGAGGAUGAUCAGCCACACUGGGACUGGGACACGGCGCAGACACCUCCGCGAGACAGCAGAGGGGAAUAUACCGCAAUGGGGGGGGGCCUGAGAGAGCAAUGCCGCGGGGAAGUAGAAGGGGCACGGGUGGUGAACUGCUUUUCUCGCAGAAGAAGUAAUGACGGUAUCUGGGGAAUAAGCACCGGCUAACUCCGUG
rnacentral:rRNA from 1 species